AUGGGACUCCAGCCAGACAUUUUGCUAUAUCCUCGUGAGACUAUGGUCACACUUGCCUCAGGUAACCCUUUUAUUCAAGAUGCUACUAGCCCUGGGUGCCUGGGUGGCUCAGUGGUUGAGUGUCUGCCUUCGGCUCAGGUUGUGAUCCCGGAGUCCUGGGAUCGAUCCUGCCAUCAGGCUUCCUAUAGGGAGCCUGCUUCUCCCUCUGCCUGUGUCUCUGCCUCUCUCACUGCAUCUCUCAUGAAUAAAUAAAUAAUCUUAAAAAAAAAAAAGGAGUACACUUAAAUGACAUAGAAAGAGAAGAAAAAUACCUGGCUAAUUGCCAUGCACAGUGAGUGACCCAUUGCCUGAAAAUGGAAAGAGUGACCACAGGAAUUUAGUUUGAACUACUUUCUACCACCACUAAGCCUGAACAUGACAGAUGUAGGGGAAGCCAACAGAAAGAGGAAAUUCUGGUCAGACACACAUUGACUCAUUUGAUAAUUUACUUCCUCAGAUAAUUUUCUUAUUCAGUCAGAAGUCUCAUAAAAGAUAGGUAAAGAUGGAGCCAAAUCCUUAGUAUUAAGAAAUUAAGUGGUCAGGCAUGGCCCAGAAGUCCAGUUGACCAGAGAGAAGGGAUCUUAUCAUGCUUAUUAGCCAUAAGCUAGGUGAACAGAGCUGUUUGUAGACAUUUCUGCUCAAAUGACCACAUUUUUCUGAAUAUGCAAUGAGGCCAAAGACACUCGUUAUCUCCGUCAGAAAGGAGGGUAGUUCCCUAAAUUCACAUUAAAAAUAUGAAAGGAGUCACAUCUGGAAGACUUGGGCCCCACCCAAGGCUCAUACUUAUAAUCCUUUGACAAUCCACCCCUUCUCUGGAGCCCACAUGGAAGCUGUCAGAGCAAACCCACAGAGGAUUGGUGACGAUGGGCUGGACACAUCCAGGACUCUCCCAGAUAUGUCCUAUUAAUCAAUACAAAGCAACUGGAACUCUGAUGCAAAGCAGUCUGGAAAUGAAAAUCAAUUUUUUUUCAGCCUAUAAGUUACCAAAAAAGGGGGAUCACCCCCAAAGAUGCUCAGUAGUUGAUUAGUGGUUAAAAGAAAGAACAGAGUUCUAUUUUUGUUUUCAUUUUUGCUUUUAAUCCUAAGGGCUAUUUUGUUCUGAAGUGGAAAGAGCUUCUGAAUAUUUGAACCAUCUGCAUAGAGAGAACUGCCCUAAAUGUCACCCAGAACUUUCCAGUAUUUUAAAAAUCCAAUGCACCUAGAUCCCAAAUUGAAUAGGGCAUAAUGUAAUCUUUUUUGCUUUCUUUCACAAAAUUAUAAAUAAAUCAUGACUUCUAGAUAAGCAAAAUAUGGUGACUUAUAAUCAAAUACAACCACAGUCCUGUGAAACUGGAACUUUUAUAUGCAUACACACUAGUUAUGGUGCUACAGUCUAGUUGAUAAGAUGGUAAGCUGUUCACAUUAAUUGCUGUAAUUGAUGUAAAGAAAAUGAACCGAAGUUUUGGUUUUUAUUCCUUUUGAUGUAUUACAAUUUCAACAUCUACAAUAAUGGUCCGGCUCUCUCAUCAUAUCAUUUAGAUGAGAAUAAAAGACAUAAAAUAUAAAAAUCAAAGUUGCAAGACUUCAACUUUGGAAUUGGCAAGGCUAAAUAAAACAGGAAGCCUUCUCUAAGGCACCUACCAUGCUGGUGCUUUCCAAGUUGUAAUUUUCAGUACAACAUGUAAAAGACUAUUUUCAUAUGAGGCAUAGCCUGAGAUGGGAAACGGUACCCCCAAAAAGUUGUCUGUCACUAGAGAUGCUAAAGAAGGGAGGAAGGACAGUGUGUCAGGUUCCCUUGUGGGUGGUAAUUUCUGCAUUGAUCAGAAACUGAACCAGAUGGACACUGCCAAUAGAAGAUGAACUGAUUCUACUCUUUAAACACUAUCGGCGCAGAAACAUAAAGAUAUUGCAUUCACAUUGAAAACAUUCAAGAAUAAUUAUUUUUAAGCUAAGAUCCUUGACUAUCUCUCCAGGGUGCAGACCUCCUGCUCUACUAUUAACCCUUUCCCUGCAGCCAACAUCUCCAAGAUCAGCAGGUCACCUCCAUGUCUAAGAUUACUGAGUUCUACUUAUGGAACCUUAUCUCAUUCGUACUUUCUUUUGCAAUUUACUCAUCCCACCAAUAUUUAGUUGAUAUCUAUUGCUUUUCCCUGGGAAUCCUACCAUUUAAAACAGAGGAAGGCCACUGCCUCAUGAUAUGUACCCAUUACCUAAGCAGUCUGUAAGCUCUUCCCCCUGGGUUUCCCCAGCUUCUGGAGGACUUGGAACAAUCACAAAACAUAAAGGCCUGUCCCGUAGAUGAAGUUAUGAUUUUCAGAGGGGACAAGGGCAGAGUGUCAAGGGUACAGGUCAUCCAGCUGAAGGCAAAAUAGUACAAAAGAAGGAAGAUAUAAGACAUCAGUAUCUUGGGCCCACUGAACAAGUAGCUAGGAGUCAGAGCCUGUGGUCAGAGGGAAGAAAAAAAGGUUAUUGAGAAGUGAAUCAUGUUCAAAUAAGCUCAACUGUCCAAAUAACUCUAACUAGCACUGUCUAGCUCUUGGAUUCCUUGUCUAGGCAGCCCUAUUUUAUUCCCCAUUACCCCAUUCCAGAAUCUUAAACCUACGAGCCUAAGUUUAUGUUCAAACCCAACUGCAGAUUAAUUUCUCCUUUAGAACUUCAUACCAACCAAUCUUUCCCACCUCUCUGACAAUACUUUAAGGUUUUUGACUUAAGAUACAUAGAACAAAAUAGAUAGGUCAAAUACCCUUGAGACAAAUAGUACAUGGUUGAAUUUUUUCUUAAUGUCAGUGAAAUAUCGGGACACCUGGAGAGCUCAGUGACUGAGCGUCUGCCUUUGGCUCAGGUGGUGAUCCCAGAGUCCUGGGAUCAAGUCUUUCAUCAGGCUCCUUUCUCCCUCUGCAUGUGUCUCUGCUUCUUUCUGUGUCUUUCUUGUGAAUAAAUAAAUAAAAUCUUUUUAAAAAAAUAAUCAUAUCAGUGAAAUAUCAAAUGAUAUACUACAAAAGCACAAAUAGCAGAAAGACAUAAAGAGGAGAGCAAUCAGACUGGGUCCUGUUUGUAAGGAAUCAGGGGUCCUAAUUAGACAAUCAAAAAGGAAAGAGGAGGUAUGAAAGAGGGCAGGCUGGGCACUCAGAAACAAAUUUCUCUGAUGUAAUUUUUGUGAUGUUAGGAAAAAAUACUUUUACUUUAGACCAGACACAUAGAGGUACUCUAUGGAAUUUCAAAUGUUCAGGCACUCUGUAGUUGAACAUCUCAGAGGGAAUUUGAGAAUCUUGUGCUAAUAGUAAAGGUCUGAAGGAUAAAAUAGUGAAUAAAUAAAUGAAUAAGCAGGGGAAUAUUAGAGAUCAUGUGAUCCAUAGCUUCGUGUGUGUGUGUGUGUGUGUGUGUGUGUUUGUAAAUGCAUGUCAAAAUCUUGUUUAGAAGUUCCUUAGGCAAAAUAUCACAUUAUUAGUGAUAUUUUAGGAUACCUAUAUAGUGGGUGGCUUUGGCUAGAAUAAACAUUGAAGAUUACAAUUCUUGCCUAGUAAUUCAUAUGUCAUGAAGUAAUGAGUAUUUUAGUGGGGUAAAAAUUUGAAUGAGACGUCUGUGAAACAGUUGUGAGUCAGGAGGGAGUCAAAUGUGCAAACAUGAGUCACUUUGCUAGAGAGUGAGUCUCACUAACCCAUAGGUCCUUACUUCUGUAUGUAUUCUUAUUUCCUCCAUUUUGCAUUUCUAAUGCCACAGGUUUACUGAUGUAGAGGAAAUAUCAUUUUUCUGUGUAAAAAAAAAAGUCAAAAAAUGACUCUGACAGUGAAUAAGCAAGAAAAAUCAAAACUUCUACAGACAUAAAGAAUAAGUAAAAAAAAAAGAUUUAGAUAGAUUUCCUUGGAAGAAAAGUAGAAUUAUUAUAUAAAUUAAAGAGAAUGAUAUCAAAGGUGAUGGUAGUUAGAAUAUCUAACAUGUUCACCAAAAGUAUUCCAAAAAAUACUUUUGUGAAAUUAUCUUAGCAAAUGCUCUAUCUGAUACAAACAAAAAUUUCUUAUUCAGUGAGAGAUAAAAUAACAAAAGGUAAAAAGCUAAUUAACUUGGAUUCUGAGGCUAUUUUAGAGGAAAUAUGAUUUAAAAGGAAUAGAAUUAACAUUUUUAUAAAUAGUUAUAUAUAAUUAUUAUUUAUGUGUAUAUAAUUGUUAACAUUAUAAAAACUCUUUUAAUUUUUCUGAUAUGCU
rnacentral:lncRNA from 1 species